rnacentral:rRNA from 1 species
UACGGAGGGGACUAGCGUUGUUCGGAAUUACUGGGCGUAAAGCGCGCGUAGGCGGAUUUGCAAGUCGGGGGUGAAAUCCCGAGGCUCAACCUCGGAACUGCCUUCGAUACUGCAAAUCUCGAGUCCGGAAGAGGUGAGUGGAAUUCCUAGUGUAGAGGUGAAAUUCGUAGAUAUUAGGAAGAACACCAGUGGCGAAGGCGGCUCACUGGUCCGGUACUGACGCUGAGGCGCGAAAGCGUGGGGAGCAAACAGG